AUUGUGGGUACCACGCUUGUAAGACAAUGUGUUUGGUCAUUUCUUCUCACCCCUCUUGCGGUAGUAGAGGCGAUCCUCUUUUUUAAGACCCAUCUCUAUUUAUUCAUUGCUAUUCUUUAUUUUUUUUCCUUUAGUUACAGAUGAUUUCCAAUGUUGAAGGUUGUGACCUUUUGGUUUUGUCAUCUUGUUUCCAUAUCUGUGGAAAUUUUGAAGUCCUACCUAGUGGUAUGAGCUUAAGACAUGAUCGUGGCUUCAAUAUUAAGAGAAUAUCAUGGAAGCUAUUAAACCACCAAUUUGAGACUAAACCAGCCAAGAUAUGCAACACUUCCCAACAUAAUGAAGGCAAGAUCAAAGGUUAUUAAAAAAGUCACUCCACAAGAACUGAAUGUGGAGAUAAAGUCGGACUUAGAGGUGGUUGAAGUCACAGAACCACCUAAAAGGAAAGCGGGUGUUAUGGUUUCUUCGGUGGAUGAGCUCAUCGACAAGUUGAAAACUGAAGCUCGUGUCUUGUAGGAAAUAUUUGCUAUAUUCAUUUGCAUUGAGUUGUCCAUGUUGGCAUUUAGGAGAACAGGAAAAUUUGAGCUUAGCGGUCUUCUAAGUAAUAUUUGCAUGAGUUGCUGCAUGUAAGAUGUCUUUUCAGAAUUUCUGAAAAUAAAUCAAGAAGAAAAUAGUUUUCACGCAUGCUCUCACUUAGUUUUCAACCUUUGAGUUCCCUUACUAGUUACAAGCAGCCUAGCAGAUAGAGUUAGGUUCUAUUAGAAGCUCAUUUUCAUGUCACACUAUAGCAAUUUUUCUGAGCGAGCUCGGAACAAGUUGUGUAUGGGGAUGAGGUAUGCACAAUAAAAAAUGCAAUACAUAUACUUUCAUGUAACAUCAACUUACUGUUACUUUACUAAUGCAAAUGAUUACAAAUGAUUUACUUC